UAGGCUGUGAGCCAAGGAGACUGGGGC
rnacentral:piRNA from 1 species